rnacentral:rRNA from 1 species
UACGAAGGGGGCUAGCGUUGCUCGGAAUCACUGGGCGUAAAGGGUGCGUAGGCGGGUCUUUAAGUCAGGGGUGAAAUCCUGGAGCUCAACUCCAGAACUGCCUUUGAUACUGAGGAUCUUGAGUACGGGAGAGGUGAGUGGAAUUGCGAGUGUAGAGGUGAAAUUCGUAGAUAUUCGCAAGAACACCAGUGGCGAAGGCGGCUCACUGGCCCGUUACUGACGCUGAGGCACGAAAGCGUGGGGAGCAAACAGG